rnacentral:rRNA from 1 species
UGCAGUCGAACGCUUUGUGGUUCAACUGAUUUGAAGAGCUUGCUCAGAUAUGACGAUGGACAUUGCAAAGAGUGGCGAACGGGUGAGUAACACGUGGGAAACCUACCUCUUAGCAGGGGAUAACAUUUGGAAACAGAUGCUAAUACCGUAUAACAAUAGCAACCGCAUGGUUGCUACUUAAAAGAUGGUUCUGCUAUCACUAAGAGAUGGUCCCGCGGUGCAUUAGUUAGUUGGUGAGGUAAUGGCUCACCAAGACGAUGAUGCAUAGCCGAGUUGAGAGACUGAUCGGCCACAAUGGGACUGAGACACGGCCCAUACUCCUACGGGAGGCAGCAGUAGGGAAUCUUCCACAAUGGGCGAAAGCCUGAUGGAGCAACGCCGCGUGUGUGAUGAAGGGUUUCGGCUCGUAAAACACUGUUGUAAGAGAAGAAUGACAUUGAGAGUAACUGUUCAAUGUGUGACGGUAUCUUACCAGAAAGGAACGGCUAAAUACGUGCCAGCAGCCGCGGUAAUACGUAUGUUCCAAGCGUUAUCCGGAUUUAUUGGGCGUAAAGCGAGCGCAGACGGUUAUUUAAGUCUGAAGUGAAAGCCCUCAGCUCAACUGAGGAAUUGCUUUGGAAACUGGAUGACUUGAGUGCAGUAGAGGAAAGUGGAACUCCAUGUGUAGCGGUGAAAUGCGUAGAUAUAUG